rfam:Brassica napus, WGS project CCCW01000000 data, contig: 15248
GGAAUAUAAGAACCCGUUUCUUAACUUUUAACUAAAAAAACUAAGAACCGGUUCUUAAAUAAGAGUUUUAAGAACCGGUUAACUUUUUUAGUUAAAAGUUAAGAAACAGAUUUUUAUAUUCC